rnacentral:rRNA from 1 species
UACGUAGGGAGCAAGCGUUGUCCGGAAUUACUGGGCGUAAAGCGCGUGUAGGCGGCUAAGUAAGUCGGGCGUGAAAUCCCACGGCUCAACCGUGGAAGUGCACUCGAAACUGCAUAGCUAGAGUCCUGGAGAGGAAGGUGGAAUGUUUGGUGUAGAGGUGAAAUUCGUAGAUAUCAAGCGGAACACCGGUGGCGAAGGCGGCCUUCUGGACAGUGACUGACGCUGAGACGCGAAAGCGUGGGGAGCAAACAGG